UGCCCCAUGGCUGAGUUGGUUACAGCGUCCGACUGUUAAAGCCCCACAAAGGCUCAGACGAUAUCGGAAGGUCGUGAGUUCGAGCCUCACUGGGGCAG